rnacentral:rRNA from 1 species
AAAAGUGGAUUAGCGGCGGACGGGUGAGUAACACGUGAGUAACCUGCCUUAGACAUUGGGAUAGCCUCGGGAAACUGGGUCUAAUACCGGAUAGGACCAUGCUUUAGUGUGUGUGGUGGAAAGUUUUUCGGUGUAGGAUGAGCCCGCGGCCUAUCAGCUUGUUGGUGGGGUAAUGGCCUACCAAGGCGGCGACGGGUAGCCGGCCUGAGAGGGUGUACGGCCACAUUGGGACUGAGAUACGGCCCAG